UCCGGGUCGCGGCUCCUCCCAUAGGGACUUUCACACGGAGCCGCCGACACGCAGCCCGCAGCCCUCAGCCCUUUCCUCGGCGCUCGGAAGCUUCCCUCCGCCGGGAGAAACCGCGGGCCCCUGGUGCGGGACGCCACGCUGGCUCCGGACCCCCAGAUUGGAUUGCUGUUUCAUGUCCAUUUUGGAUAUUCUGUUUAUUCUCAGAAGAAAUUCCCUGCCUUGCCAGAAGACACCCCACCUCAAGAGCCCCAGAUUGAUUCUGACUCAAAACCAAGGGUUUGAAAGGAACCAGAUCAUCUAAGUUGUCCCCUGACAGCCUGGGCUACUCUGAAAGGUCAUGUCUUCUUGGAGUUCCAGGAAUGAAAUAGAGCCUAGGCCUCUUCCAACUACUACCCUCUGGAGUUCAAAAGGAAAAACAACCAGUGGGUGGUGCUGACCCAGGAUGGAGUGAUGUCAGAGGCCCCUCUCCCAGACUGGGAGCUCAGAGAAGGCUUUCCAAAAGAAGGAUCAUCUAUACUACAACCCAAAGGAUGAGUAAUCAUUUGGUGAAUGGGAAAGGAAGAGGAUUCCAGACAGAAGGAAUAGCCUGUUCAAAAUCCCACUCACAGUGGGAAAGCUCCUGGAGGUGCCUAUGGUUAGGCACAGAGCACCAAGGAGGGGUGGAGAAGAGGCUGGAAAGGUACACAGCACGCGGAGACUCUGUUAAGAACUUUUGGCUUUAUCCCAAAUGGGCAGCUACUGAAGGGUUUCCAGCAGAGGCAUGAUCUGUCAGACUGAUGUAUUAAAGAUACCACUUGAGUUGCCCAGUGGAUAAGAUGGCCCAGGAAGGGCACAUAGAAUAAGAAAAGUCUUAGACACACCGUCAUCAACAACAUUAUCAAAGACAACAGCAAAAUUAAGUGACAAACAGAAGAGGAACCCAUAACAGAAACAGAAGAGGGUCCACAGGAAUUGAAAGAAAACCAAGAGAGUGUGGCAAUCCUAAAACAUAAGAGAAUCUCCAGAAGUUCAGGGCAUAAUUAGAAUCAAUCGCUACCAAGCGGAACAGUAAGACGGCUAUUGGAAAUAACUGGAUUUAGCAAUCAGAUUAUUGACAACCUCGUUGAAAACACUUUAAGUCAAUUGUAUCUAUGUUCAUCUAUCCCCUCCAAUUACCAUCAGUUCCUAGACCAAUGUCUUCCAAAUGGAUAUCUUGAGUCCAGACCUCCUCUUUGAAUUCCACACCCAGAUACAAUUGACUACUCAACAUCUUAACUUGAAUAAAAGGUAUCUCAAACGCAGGUUCCAAGACCAAUAAUCUCCCUGCCCCAACCUAGUCAUCCUGAAAUACUCCUCGACUCAGUGUUGGUUCCUCCAUUCUUCCACUGCAGAGUCCAUCCUUGACAACCCCUUUUUUCUCACCACCACCCCACACUUCUAACCCAUUGCUAAUCUUGUCAAUGUUUCCUGCCUGUGUGUUUUUAUCUCCACUGCCAACAUCUGAAAGCAAGGCACCAUCUUCUUUCUCACCUGAACAGAAGUGAUAGCCUCCUAACGGGUUUCUCAUAUCCAUCCACCUCUGCACUCCUUCCACCUACUCCCCACUCAGCAGCUGGAGUCAUCUGUUUUGUUUGUUUUGUUUUUUCAUGUACAAAAUUGUUUGCAUCACUUGUUUCAACCCUUUGAUCGUGUCCCAGGGAUUAAAGGCAAAAUCAAAAUUCUUUAACUGAUAUAGAAAGUUCUGCUUGAUAUGGCCCUGGCCUGUCUUCCCAGAUGCAAUUCACUGCACAUUCCCUCUUACCCUCUGUUUUCCCGCCACAGUGGCCUUCUCUCCAUUUCUUAUACGCACCAUGCAUCCAACAUAGGUCUGGUAUCAUCUACUCUGUCUCUGUGGCUAAGAACAUGAGCUCAAGUAUUGAACUAGGUUAAAAUCCCACCUCUACCCCUUUUUGGUUCAAUGGCCCUGAAUAAAGUACUCAAUCA